ensembl:lncRNA
AUCUCUGGAUUAUUUUUCUCCCCUCUCGCCUUGAUGUGAGGAUGUUAACUACCGAUGGCGUGACAUCAAAGUUAAAAGGAAAAAAAAAACUAUCUCUGUAUGUAAACAUUUCUUCUCUAAAUCCAACUCCAGUGUUCCCAGUUCCCAAAAUUCCCUGUUCCUGGUUUAAUAUGUUCCCAGUUUCCUAUGUUCCCAUUGGCCUGUGUUUCCCAUUCCUUACGUUGCCAGUUUCCUAAAAUUCCCCAUUUUCGAUGUCCCAGUUUGAUAUGUACUCAGUUCUCGAUGUUCCAGUUUAAUAUGUACUCGGUUCUCGAUGUUCCAGUUUGAUAUGUACUCGGUUCUCGAUGUUCCAGUUUGAUAUGUACUCGGUUCUCGAUGUUCCAGUUUAAUAUGUACUCUGUUCUCGAUGUUCCGGUUUGAUAUGUACUCAGUUCUCGAUGUUCCAGUUUAAUAUGUACUCGGUUCUCGAUGUUCCAGUUUAAUAUGUACUCAGUUCUUUAUGUUCCGGUUUGAUAUGUACUCUGUUCUCGAUGUUCCGGUUUGAUAUGUACUCUGUUCUCGAUGUUCCGGUUUGAUAUGUACUCGGUUCUUGAUGUUCCAGUUUGAUAUGUACUCGGUUCUCGAUGUUCCAGUUUGAUAUGUACUCAGUUCUUUAUGUUCCGGUUUAAUAUGUACUCUGUUCUCGAUGUUCCAGUUUGAUAUGUACUCUGUUCUCGAUGUUCUGGUUUGAUAUGUACUCGGUUCUUGAUGUUCCAGUUUGAUAUGUACUCAGUUCUCGAUGUUCCCAGUUUGAUAUGUACUCGGUUCUCGAUGUUCCCGUUUGAUAUGUACUCUGUUCUCGAUGUUCCGGUUUGAUAUGUACUCGGUUCUUGAUGUUCCAGUUUGAUAUGUACUCGGUUCUCGAUGUUCCAGUUUGAUAUGUACUCGGUUCUUGAUGUUCCAGUUUGAUAUGUACUCGGUUCUCGAUGUUCCCGUUUAAUAUGUACUCGGUUCUCGAUGUUCCCAGUUGCCUAUAUUCCCAAAUCUCUAUGGUCCCAGUUCCCAGUAAGCCCAGUUCCAUAUGUUUCCAGUUUGUCUGUCCGCAGUGUCACGUGUUCUCCGUGUUCUCCGUGUUCUCCGUGUUCUCGGGUCGCUCUGUGAACACGCUCGGUGUUUUGGGAGCUUUCAGGUUUCUGAUUUCUUUUCUUUUUUUUCUUUUUUCUUUUUUUCUUUCUCAAUUUCAGCCUCAAAAAACUCCAAAAUUGCAAGAAAGUUUCUGAGCCGUUUGUCCAGAUCGUUAAAAUCUCCUCGGUUCUGGGAAUAAGCCGAGUCGGAUGGAGAGCCUUGAACAAUGUGGAGUUAUUUGUGACUCGGAGCAGUGGAAGUGGAAGCGCGAGGUUAGCAGGCAGUCGGUCAAUGGCAGGAACUUCCCCGUUUUUAGGGCAGGAAGUGUUGUGAUUGAGCCGACAUAACGGACCCUGGAGUUACUUCCUGUGUGUGUGUGUGUGUGUGUGUGUGUGUGUGUGUGUGUGUGUGUGUGUGUGUGCAGUUACACACCGUGUCCAGCAGGUGAGGACAGAGGACACUGAGGGAGAGGAGAUGAAAUGGACUGAUUUGAAUCCCCAAUUCCUAUAUAUAUAGUGUCUUAUAU